AUUUAGCUGACGAGUCCUAAAUCGGACGAAACGCGCGUCAAACUGGAU
rfam:Schistosoma rodhaini strain Burundi genome assembly, scaffold: SROB_scaffold0013049